rnacentral:rRNA from 1 species
AGAGUUUGAUCCUGGCUCAGGACGAACGCUGGCGGCGUGCUUAACACAUGCAAGUCGCACGGGGUAGCAAUACCCAGUGGCGAACGGGUGCGUAACACGUGAGGAACAUGACUUCCGGUGGGGGAUAGCCGGCCCAACGGCCGGGUAAUACCGCAUACGCUGCGCGAGGGGCAUCCCCCGGUUCGGAAAGCAGCAAUGCGCCGGAAAGGUGCCUCGCGGCCUAUCAGCUAGUUGGUGAGGUAAUGGCUCACCAAGGCGACGACGGGUAGCUGGUCUGAGAGGAUGAUCAGCCACAUUGGGACUGAGACACGGCCCAGACUCCUACGGGAGGCAGCAGUGGGAAAUAUUGCGCAAUGGGCGAAAGCCUGACGCAGCGACGCCGCGUGUGGGAUGAAGGCCUUCGGGUUGUAAACCACUGUCGGGAGGGACGAAGCUCUGACGGUACCUCCAAAGGAAGCACCGGCUAACUCUGUGCCAGCAGCCGCGGUAAUUC